CAAUUCCCAUCUGUUCAUCAUCAAAUUUGACAUUGAUUCAUUUUCUUUUUUAUUACAGGGAGGAAACAGUUGGUGGGGUAGUGAGAAAUUACCUGGAUUCCGUUUGCUUGUAAUGAUCUACGAAUUUCGGUUAGCGUUUCAAGCCCUGUCAUGUCGAUUGAGGUGACUCCUAUACAAACAAACAAACAAACAAACAAACAAACAAACAAACUCCAUAAUUUGUCAAAUGUUUGGAUCUGAAAGGAAGGGGUUUUUGUAGCUUUAUUACCGCUCAACUCCAAGAGUACAUGUUCGACAGGUAAAGUGUUCGAUGAAUUGCGGCAACAGACUUUUCCAUUACCUUUCUGUGAUGUAGUUGGAGUUGGCAUAAUAAAUAGGGGAACCAAGUUGAAGAACAAUAAUCCCAUGGUUUCUAGUUGCAUUAGGAUAUUGCUCCACAUCUCUGUACAAAUUGGAGUUUGGUAUUUUGCCGAGCUUGCAAGUAGCUGGUCUAGCCAUGUAAAGAAGAGCUCUCAGCAAAGCAAGUCCCACCUGAUCAAAUACCAAAUCAUAACACACCAGGAAUAAGAAAGCAACACCCAAGAAAGCCGCCAUACAAAUGCAAAAAUCAAAUUUAUCAACUUUGAGAAGAUGAUACAUUUCUUCAUAUUUGAUGAGACCAAGCAUGGCGGACAUUAUAAUGGCGGAAAGGGCG